CUUAUUAGAUACCCUGGUAGUCCACGCUGUAAACGAUGGAUACUAGGUGUGCGGGGUCUGACCCCCUGCGUGCCGCAGCUAACGCAAUAAGUAUCCCACCUGGGGAGUACGAUCGCAAGGUUGAAACUCAAAGGAAUUGACGGGGGCCCGCACAAGCGGUGGAGUAUGUGGUUUAAUUCGAGGCAACGCGAAGAACCUUACCAGGGCUUGACAUCCCGGCGACCGGUGUAGAGAUACACCUUCCCUUCGGGGCGCUGGAGACAGGUGGUGCAUGGUUGUCGUCAGCUCGUGUCGUGAGAUGUUGGGUUAAGUCCCGCAACGAGCGCAACCCUUAUUGUUAGUUGCUACGCAAGAGCACUCUAACGAGACUGCCGUUGACAAAACGGAGGAAGGCGGGGACGACGUCAAAUCAUCAUGCCCCUUAUGUCCUGGGCCACACACGUACUACAAUGGUGGUCAACAGAGGGAAGCAAGACCGCGAGGUGGAGCAAAUCCCUAAAAGCCAUCCCAGUUCGGAUCGCAGGCUGCAACCCGCCUGCGUGAAGUUGGAAUCGCUAGUAAUCGCGGAUCAGCAUGCCGCGGUGAAUACGUUCCCGGGCCUUGUACACACCGCCCGUCACACCAUGAGAGUCGGGAACACCCGAAGUCCGUAGCCUAACCGCAAGGGGGGCGCGGCCGAAGGUGGGUUCGAUAAUUGGGGUGAAGUCGUAACAAGGUACC
rnacentral:rRNA from 1 species